rnacentral:rRNA from 1 species
UACGAACUGUGCAAACGUUAUUCGGGAUCACUGGGCUUAAAGGGUGCGUAGGCGGCUAUUUAAGUAGGGUGUGAAAGCCCCCGGCUCAACCGGGGAAUUGCGUCCUAAACUGGGUAGCUCGAGUGAGAUAGAGGUGUGUGGAACUUCCGGUGGAGCGGUGAAAUGUGUUGAUAUCGGAAGGAACGCCGGUGGCGAAAGCGACACACUGGGUCUCAACUGACGCUGAGGCACGAAAGCCAGGGGAGCGAACGGG